AUUUAUAUAGUAUAAAAAGUAUUUUUGACUUCCAAUCAAAAGGUCUAAUUUUUAGUAUAAAUA
rnacentral:tRNA from 6 species